CCUACGGGAGGCAGCAGUGGGGAAUAUUGCGCAAUGGGCGAAAGCCUGACGCAGCGACGCCGCGUGAGGGAUGAAGGUCUUCGGAUCGUCAACCUCUGUCAGCAGGGAAGAACGGUCACUGUGCUAAUCAGCAGUGAAUUGACGGUACCUGCAAAGGAAGCACCGGCUAACUCCGUGCCAGCAGCGGCGGUAAUACGGAGGGUGCGAGCGUUAAUCGGAAUUACUGGGCGUAAAGCGCUCGUAGGCGGUAUGGCAAGUCAAGGGUGAAAUCCCCGCGCUCAACGUGGGAACGGCCUUUGAAACUGGCAACUUGGGUUGUGUGAGAGGAUAGGGGAAGUCCAGGUGUAGGAGUGAAAGCCGUAGAUAUCUGGAGGAACAUCAGUGGCGAAGGCGACUAUCUGGCACAUAACUGACGCUGAGGAGCGAAAGCGUGGGUAGCAAACAGGAUUAGAUACCCGUGUAGUC
rnacentral:rRNA from 1 species